rnacentral:snoRNA from 1 species
AGAGACAUGAGGUUGAAAGUCGCACAGUCUUCGGACUGUGCUUGUUUUUGUAAGGGAACUGUACUUUCACGUACAACCUUUUU